rnacentral:rRNA from 1 species
AGUUCGGAUUGAAGGCUGAAAUUCGCCUUCAUGAAGCCGGAAUUGCUAGUAAUGGCAGGUCAGCAUACUGCCGUGAAUACGUUCCCGGGCCUUGUACACACCGCCCGUCACACCAUGAGAGUUGGGGAUACCCGAAGCCUGUGAGCUAACUUAUAGAGGCAGCAGUCGAAGGUAGAAUCAAUGAUUGGGGUGAAGUCGUAACAAGGUAAC